GAAACCAACAGGGAUUGCCUUAGUAACGGCGAGUGAAGCGGCAAAAGCUCAAAUUUGAAAUCUGGCACCUUCGGUGUCCGAGUUGUAAUUUGAAGAAGGUAACUUUGGAGUUGGCUCUUGUCUAUGUUCCUUGGAACAGGACGUCACAGAGGGUGAGAAUCCCGUGCGAUGAGAUGCCCAAUUCUAUGUAAAGUGCUUUCGAAGAGUCGAGUUGUUUGGGAAUGCAGCUCUAAGUGGGUGGUAAAUUCCAUCUAAAGCUAAAUAUUGGCGAGAGACCGAUAGCGAACAAGUACAGUGAUGGAAAGAUGAAAAGAACUUUGAAAAGAGAGUGAAAAAGUACGUGAAAUUGUUGAAAGGGAAGGGCUUGAGAUCAGACUUGGUAUUUUGCGAUCCUUUCCUUCUUGGUUGGGUUCCUCGCAGCUUACUGGGCCAGCAUCGGUUUGGAUGGUAGGAUAAUGACUAAGGAAUGUGGCUCUACUUCGGUGGAGUGUUAUAGCCUUGGUUGAUACUGCCUGUCUAGACCGAGGACUGCGUCUUUUGACUAGGAUGUUGGCAUAAUGAUCUUAAGCCACCC
rnacentral:rRNA from 1 species